rnacentral:rRNA from 1 species
GAUGAACGCUGGCGGCGUGCCUAAUACAUGCAAGUCGAGCGAACAGACGAGGAGCUUGCUCCUCUGACGUUAGCGGCGGACGGGUGAGUAACACGUGGAUAACCUACCUAUAAGACUGGGAUAACUUCGGGAAACCGGAGCUAAUACCGGAUAAUAUAUUGAACCGCAUGGUUCAAUAGUGAAAGACGGUUUUGCUGGCACUUAUAGAUGGAUCCGCGCCGCAUUAGCUAGUUGGUAAGGUAACGGCUUACCAAGGGGACGAUGCGUAGCCGACCUGAGAGGCUGAUCGGCGACACUGGAACUGAGACACGGUCCAGACUCCUACGGGAGGCAGCAGUAGGGAACCUUCCGCAGUGGGCGAAAGCCUGACAGAGCAACGCCGCGUGAGUGAUGAAGGUCUUCGGAUCGUAAAGCUCUGUUAUUAGGUAAGAACAACUGUGUAAGUAACUAUGCACGUCUUGACGGUACCUAAUCAGAAAGCCACGGCUAACUACGUG